rnacentral:lncRNA from 1 species
CUUAACGUAUUAAUUAUUGUAAUUUUAAAUUCUGUGUCUAAUACUUCCAAAAUAUGCACUAUAUCUGAAUCUGGUUCUAAUGAUUUUUUUUUUUUUCUCUUCAGAAUGUGUUUUUCAUAGCCUUUUAACAUACACUAGUUUUUUAUUGAACACUAGAAAUUGUUUAUCAGUAAAUGGGAACUGAGGUAAAUAGGCCUGGUAGUGUGAGAUUUCAUGACAGCUUAGAGUUAGGUUGUUUAAUGAUUGCUACAGCUAUUGAUUCCAGAGAGUUUAUAUUCUGCAAGCAUCUUUGUCCUGCCUCUACUCUUGUCUUUCUGCCAUUUUAUCCUGGAUGUUUCCUCUUAGAGUUCCCUUAGAACCUUACUAGAUGGAUCCUGCAUUCUGCAGCUCUUUCAGCUGCAAUCCACUGCUUUCAUACUGCAGUCCCAUUGGCAUGGUAGUAAGCUGCAGUUCUGGGGCUAGGAUGGCCGGCCCUUCAAAGAAGGCCUGCACUGGCGAGGGGGCCAGGCCUUUGUGCUCUUGCCUUGAUGAGACAGUUGGUAUAGGAACAAAUUUGCGAGAAGCACUGAGCUGUGGGGACUCAGCAGCAAGCUGCUAGUAAUCACCAGGCCCAGCAAGUGGAAAAAUGAGUGAACGCCAAGGUCUCAGAGGAGGGAGCUGAGUGGUACCCCACAGUGUUUACUACAGUGACCCACCAACUAGUGACUAAAGAUAUUUUAAACUACUGUAUUAUGCUAAUGAAUAACUGACCUGCUGAUGGGCAAUUUGGUGUUACUGCCCAUGGAAAUUCUGAAAACUGUGUAGCAAGUAUAAUCAUAAGGAUUCUAAUUUCAAAUUAAGCUGUGCUGAUGGUUUCAGUUGGCAUUUUAAAUUCUCCCCUAGUUACUUGUAAUAAAAUAAUGCCAUUAUCCUGGAGGAAGGCAUUCUUUGAGGAGUGAAUGAAAUAGUAUAAAUAAAAUACUUAGCAUCGUAUAGCCAUACAGUAAGUACUUGAUAAAUGCAAGCUAAGUUAAAUAAAUGGAACAAAAUUAUGGCUCUUAGAAAGUUGAAGUUACUUUUUUAUUAUUGCUAAGAGUGUGUGUGUGUGUGUGUGUGUGUGUGUGUGUGUGUGUGUGUGAGAGAGAGAGAGAUUCAGUUUUGUGGUUGUUUAUGUUUUGUUUUGCUUUGUUUUCUUUUCAAGAUUAGAAUUAGACUUUUAUCUCUAAAGAAGUUCUAUUUAUUGAAGUGCAGAAUCAUUUUAAAUUUAGACAUUUUAUUUCUCUCUUUGGAUUUUUUAAUGAACUAUUAUUCUAAAAUGAAUAGGCAUUAUAAAUAAGACUUUUUUCUCUUAUUCAAAUUUAUUUUUAAUACUGUUUACUAUAUUUUUCUCUUUUGCUCUUUAAAAUUAUUUAUGAUUUUGACUCAUUUGAGGAAAUGCCUAUAAAAGUUUUUAUUGUGUGGUGAAAGGAAAAUUAAUUUCUUAUGGUAAAGGUGAAUGAGAGAUUACUUUCUGUAGCCAAUAAAUUUGGGAUAAAUUUGAGUGAGUGAUUUUUUUUCAUUAGCCUGUGAAAAGGCUAUUUAUUUCCACAUCUAAUUAUAAAACAAGUAAUUCUGCCUUAAUGAAAUAAAACCAACCCUGAAAACAAAUAGGCCUCAUUUACAGUUCCAACUAAAUUAGAUACUGAAAAAUGUUUUCAUUCUGAUGUGUUUUGAAAUGUCUAAUGAAUUACAAAUAAAAUAUUUCAAAGAAUGUAUGUGUAUAGAUAGUAUCCUAAGAAGCUCAAAUUUGCUUUGCCAUUUUAAGAUUUCUCUUAUAAAUCAAUGAUGUGGAAUAAUGAAGGAAAGUUGAGUUGUUACCCAAAUCUCAUGGAGGUGCUAAGUUUCAUGAGGAUUGAGUAUAAGUAGUUGACAGUGUACACAGUAGGUCGAUUUGAUGUUGUGAUCCAUGAGCAUUAAAUGCUUUAUUUGAUAAAUGCAGAAAUCUAAGAUUGCCUCUUGCAUAAGUUUAAAAUGGGUUAUAAAUAAGAUUUAAUGUUAAUAGCAGGGUGUUUUACAAACCAUAAACUGAAAACAACCCAUGUUAAUAUGUUAGGGUAAUGAACUAUAUUAUGUCAAAGUCAAACUGUCCUUUUUUUCUUUAAAAAGAAUAACCAAUGAACUAGUUAAAACCAGUUAAAAUGAAACAAAAUUUUUUUUCUCAUUAUACAAACACACACACAUGUACAUACAUAUAUACUGUUGGUUAGGAGUAAAAUAAGAAAAUAAUAUUAUUGUCACUUAGAAUCAUUACCUUAUAGGUUGAAAGUAGUAGUUUUUCCUGUGGUUUAGAAGGAAAUAUGAAUGGGAUUAGAAGGAAAUAUAUUUUCCUAGCUCUCCAUUCAGACAACACAUUUGAAACCUUAGAGAACGUGGCACUUGGGAAUUGUGCUCUGAGUCAAUUAGAAACUCAAAGAAAAUUUCAGCUCCCUUAAAGCCCUCUCACUUUCUCUAAGUUACUCCUAGCCUUGAUUUAGGACAUAAAUCAAUUAACUGUCUACUGUUUCAGGGCUGAUGCGUGGCUUAUUCCUGCUUUCCCUUAUUUUUCCUUACUUACCCCCACUGUUCUAGUUUCUGUCCUUCUGAAAGGGCCUGAGACAAAGACUUGAUUGCCAGUAAUUUUGAGGAACAUCCGAUCCUAAGGAGAAGCACAGAACAGGGCAAGUGAAAGAGGAAAGAUGCAACAGCUAACUUCAGGAUGUAUUAUCAAGUUGGCCAUCAAACAGGUGACUGGCCCUCAAGCCUGUGACACUUUGUGAGACGCCUUAUGAAUUGUGUCAGAGCUGUUUGCUUAAGGGAUGAAAGACAAAAGCAUGUAUCUGUCAGUUCCCAUCCCUAUGUGCACAGCCUGACUCCUUGGAUGUUAAGUGCCCAGCAUCUGUGAAUGUUUUGCAGGAUCCUAAGAAUGUCCCACACUGAAUGUGUCAGAAAAGUUUCAAGGCAGUAGUUGGUAGUUACAUGAACCAAGGAAAGGCACUUUGGGGUUGCAUCUGCUACAUGGGCUGCAUGGAGGUGGUCAUUUCAGGUAGCAGGGGUUGGAGUGCCAGGUGGGCUUGGAGCAUGGUGAAGUGUGGCACAAGAGUUGUAUGCAACACAUAUCUUUCUAUGUAGUCUGGACUCUUUUAAGCUCCACACUUAGGGCUCCUAAACACUUGGUUCUUGUCAUCCUCUGUAUCUCAUUGUGAUUUUAUCUCAGAUGCACGCCACUUAUUUUUGCGGAAUCAGAUGAAAACAAAACAGAGAUAUUUUAACAUUAAAUACUUCAUAAAGCUACAUAGCAGCUUUAAAGAGGACCCAUGCAGCAACAUUUUAUAUCUCUUUACCUUAUUUAAGGGCUCCCAUCAGCUCAAUGAAUAUCCAUUCUUGGUUUUCCCCCAAUUAUCUCAACCCUUAAUUUAAGCAAGCAACCUGAAACACCAUCUUGAGAUCUUGUCCUGAAACACCUAGCAGAGUAAUUUCUUUUAAUAUUUAAGGUGAUUUUUGCUUUUCUUUCUUUUUUUUUUUCUUCUUUUAGGGCCGCACCCACGGCAUAUGGAGGUUCCCAAGCUAGAGGUCGAAUCGGAGCUACAGCUGCCAACCUACGCCACAGCCCCAGCAGCACCAUAUCCAAGCCGUGUGUGCGACCUGCACCACAGCUCACGGGAACGCCAGAUCCUUAACCCACUGAGCAAGGCCAGGGAUCAAACUGCAACCUCAUGGUUCCUAGUCGGAUUCAUUUCCGCUGCAGCACAA